rnacentral:rRNA from 1 species
UGGGUAGGGGAGCGUUCUGUAAGCCUGUGAAGGUGGCCUGUGAGGGUUGCUGGAGGUAUCAGAAGUGCGAAUGCUGACAUAAGUAACGAUAAAGCGGGUGAAAAGCCCGCUCGCCGGAAGACCAAGGGUUCCUGUCCAACGUUAAUCGGGGCAGGGUGAGUCGACCCCUAAGGCGAGGCCGAAAGGCGUAGUCGAUGGGAAACGGGUUAAUAUUCCCGUACUUGGUGUUACUGCGAAGGGGGGACGGAGAAGGCUAUGUUGGCCGGGCGACGGUUGUCCCGGUUUAAGCGUGUAGGUGUGUGUUCCAGGUAAAUCCGGUUCACUUUAACACUGAGGCGUGAUGACGAGGCACUACGGUGCUGAAGCAACAAAUGCCCUGCUUCCAGGAAAAGCCUCUAAGCAUCAGGUAACAUCAAAUCGUACCCCAAACCGACACAGGUGGUCAGGUAGAGAAUACCAAGGCGCUUGAGAGAACUCGGGUGAAGGAACUAGGCAAAAUGGUGCCGUAACUUCGGGAGAAGGCACGCUGACACGUAGGUGAAGUGAUUUACUCAUGGAGCUGAAGUCAGUCGAAGAUACCAGCUGGCUGCAACUGUUUAUUAAAAACACAGCACUGUGCAAACACGAAAGUGGACGUAUACGGUGUGACGCCUGCCCGGUGCCGGAAGGUUAAUUGAUGGGGUCAGCGCAAGCGAAGCUCCUGAUCGAAGCCCCGGUAAACGGCGGCCGUAACUAUAACGGUCCUAAGGUAGCGAAAUUCCUUGUCGGGUAAGUUCCGACCUGCACGAAUGGCGUAAUGAUGGCCAGGCUGUCUCCACCCGAGACUCAGUGAAAUUGAACUCGCUGUGAAGAUGCAGUGUACCCGCGGCAAGACGGAAAGACCCCGUGAACCUUUACUAUAGCUUGACACUGAACAUUGAGCCUUGAUGUGUAGGAUAGGUGGGAGGCUUUGAAGUGUGGACGCCAGUCUGCAUGGAGCCGACCUUGAAAUACCACCCUUUAAUGUUUGAUGUUCUAACGUGGACCCGUAAUCCGGGUUGCGGACAGUGUCUGGUGGGUAGUUUGACUGGGGCGGUCUCCUCCUAAAGAGUAACGGAGGAGCACGAAGGUUGGCUAAUCCUGGUCGGACAUCAGGAGGUUAGUGCAAUGGCAUAAGCCAGCUUGACUGCGAGCGUGACGGCGCGAGCAGGUGCGAAAGCAGGUCAUAGUGAUCCGGUGGUUCUGAAUGGAAGGGCCAUCGCUCAACGGAUAAAAGGUACUCCGGGGAUAACAGGCUGAUACCGCCCAAGAGUUCAUAUCGACGGCGGUGUUUGGCACCUCGAUGUCGGCUCAUCACAUCCUGGGGCUGAAGUAGGUCCCAAGGGUAUGGCUGUUCGCCAUUUAAAGUGGUACGCGAGCUGGGUUUAGAACGUCGUGAGACAGUUCGGUCCCUAUCUGCCGUGGGCGCUGGAGAACUGAGGGGGGCUGCUCCUAGUACGAGAGGACCGGAGUGGACGCAUCACUGGUGUUCGGGUUGUCAUGCCAAUGGCACUGCCCGGUAGCUAAAUGCGGAAGAGAUAAGUGCUGAAAGCAUCUAAGCACGAAACUUGCCCCGA